AUGGUACCAAGAGGGAUUACUAGAAGACCUAGUAGUACAGUUAGAGGCCAAAUUUUACUUCAGAAGGUCUGUGAUCUGAUCGACCCUAUUUCUGGACAGUGGGACCAAGAUCUUGUUCAACAAGUAUUCAAUGCUGAUGUUGUCCCUCAUAUUCUGAGUAUUCCAAAUAAGGAGGGAUUUGAUGAUCUUCCAGCUUGGCAUCUCGAUCCGAAAGGUAACUUUUCGGUUCGUUCAGCUUACAAACUCAAACUUCAGUUGGACGAUGUUGCUGCAGGUCAAACAUCAACUUCCACUGUAGCAGUUCUGACAACAAGCACUGCAAAGGUUUGGACCAAGCUUUGGAGGUUGAAAAUGCCUAGGAAAAUCAUCAUGUUCCUUUGGAGAUUGAGUCACGACACCCUUCCUGUCCGGUUAAAUCUUAAAGCUCGUCGUGGAAUUGACCUGGAUACCAUUUGCCCGAUGUGCAAACGCCUCGACGAGGAUGGCGGCCAUGCCUUCCUCAAAUGUAAAUUUGCGAAGGCCGUUUGGCGUGAAGCUAACCAGGAGCAUGUAAGGGGAUUGCUGCUCAGUUGCGCUGAUGCAAAACAAUCAGUCGAAGUUCUGCUAUGCUUGGAGAAUGUGACAUCCAUGUUCUGCAUUUGUUUGAUGUGGAAUUUGUGGAAGCUAGAAAUGCUGUUAAUAAUGGUGAUAGGUGCCCUUCAGCAGCGGCGAUCGUAUCCUGUAGUGCUGUACAGGUUACAGAAUUUUCUGAACACCUUCGUAUACCUUCAUGUUCAGUUGUAG
rnacentral:rRNA from 1 species